AAGGAGUGGUGAUGAUUUUAGGGGAAGUACUGGAUGGUAUGGGGGCAACUGUUUAAGAAUUUUAGAGAAUCAUGUUUCAGAAGUCGACAGAAAAGCUGGUUCGGAGGAGUUGACAGAGUCUGAGGCUUCUAGCAUUCUCAGUGAACCUGAUGAAAAUAAAAAUGUUAAGGGUCGCAUAGUUCUUAAUAACAUGAAUAUCAUCUGGAGAUUGUAUGCGGGAUCUGAUUGGCAAAAUGUUGAGAGUAAUACCCAGCAAUCUACAGGAACUUGUGGGCGGGAUACAACUGUUUGUUUAGAACUGACACUGUCUGGAAUGCGAUUUCUGUAUGACAUCUUUCCUGAUGGUGGAACUCGGGUAUCUAGGCAGUCCAUAACAGUUCAUGAUUUCUUUGUUAAAGACAACAGUAAUGCUGCCCCUUGGAAACUGGUGCUGGGGUACUAUCAAUCAAAAGGCUGUUUAAGGAAGUCUUCUUCCAAAGCAUUUAAGCUGGAUCUGGAAGCAGUAAGACCUGAUCCUGCUAUCCCUCUUGAGGAGUACCGGUUACGAAUUGCAUUCCUCCCGAUGCGCUUACAUCUUCAUCAAAACCAGUUAGAUUUUCUCAUCAGCUUUUUUGGAGGAACAAAGUCAGCAGUUACCCCCUCCCAAAGUUCUUCACAAAAUUUGAGUAAAUCGGAAAUAGUAGCAAAGAGAACUAAAUUUGGGGGUAAAGCAGUCAUUGAAGAGGCACUGCUUCCUUAUUUUCAGAAAUUUGAUAUCUGGCCUGUUCAUCUUCGGGUUGACUAUAGCCCUUGCCGUGUUGAUUUAGCUGCAUUAAGGGGUGGCAAGUAUGUUGAGCUUGUUAA
rnacentral:misc_RNA from 1 species